UGGGGAAUUUUGGACAAUGGGCGAAAGCCUGAUCCAGCAAUGCCGCGUGUGUGAAGAAGGCCUUCGGGUUGUAAAGCACUUUUGUCCGGAAAGAAAUCCUUGGCUCUAAUACAGUCGGGGGAUGACGGUACCGGAAGAAUAAGCACCGGCUAACUACGUGCCAGCAGCCGCGGUAAUACGUAGGGUGCAAGCGUUAAUCGGAAUUACUGGGCGUAAAGCGUGCGCAGGCGGUUUGCUAAGACCGAUGUGAAAUCCCCGGGCUCAACCUGGGAACUGCAUUGGUGACUGGCAGGCUAGAGUAUGGCAGAGGGGGGUAGAAUUCCACGUGUAGCAGUGAAAUGCGUAGAGAUGUGGAGGAAUACCGAUGGCGAAGGCAGCCCCUGGGCAAUACUGACGCUCAUGCACGAAAGCGUGGGGAGCAAACAGGAUUAGAUACCCUGGUAGUCCACGCCCUAAACGAUGUCAACUAGUUGUUGGGGAUUCAUUCCUUAGUAACGUAGCUAACGCGUGAAGUUGACCGCCUGGGGAGUACGGUCGCAAGAUU
rnacentral:rRNA from 1 species